AAAGUUUUUUUCUUUUUCUCUCGGAUAACACACACACACGCACAUAACCAUACACACACACACACAUAACCAUAUACACACACACACACACACAAAACCAUGGUUUCAUACAAAACCGUGUGCCAAAACCGUGUGCCACACACACACACACCCUCAAUCCUUCCUUCUCUCUCAAAUCGUCUCGAUCCUUCAUUCUCUCUCUUCUCUCUCUGAGUCUUCUCCCUUCCUGUAAUUGUUCUCAGUCUUCUCCCUUCCUGUAAUUGUUCUCAGUCUUCUCCCUUCCCCCUUCUCCAGUUCUUCCACACACACACACAGACAUCAUCUCUCGAAUCUCGAUCCAUCUCUCGAUCCUCCUCGUCCGCGUCUCCCUCUGCUCCUCCCAUCUCACCCGCCCUAAACCCAGCCGUCGACACCACUCCAUAACCGCCUUCUAAACCACCUUGUUCCAUGGAGAAGCCGUGUCGUUAGUCCCAGUCGUCGAGUCGUAACUAUCGCGUCAUCGCAAAUCAACGGUUGUGGAGAAACUGAGUGGAGGCAGCGGACACCGGACGAUGGACCGGAAUUCGUCGUAGUCGUCGGUGAGGAGCACGACGUUGUCCCAGCCGUCUUGGAUUCGUGAGGAAGACGACGUUCCCAGGCUCCUACUACCAUAUUCUUCUCGGCUUGUAAUUUAAUUUUUGUACAGAUUUCGAAUUUUCUGCAUGUUGCACCAUUUUUGUACUGAAUUUGAUUUUAGGGAUUUAGGAAUUAGGGAUUCAGUUCAUUUGCUUUGAAUUCGAAUUUGGGGAUUUAGGGAUUCAGUUCAUUUGCUUUGAAAUCGAAUUUGGGGAUUUAGGGAUUCGGUUAAUUUGCUCCGGCGUUCUUCUCCGAUUUGAACAGUGCCAAAAUAUCGCGAUAGUUUCGAAAAUAUCGCGAUAUUUUGACGAAAACACUUUGGAUAGUUAAAAAAAUAUCGGACAAAAAAAAAACGAUAAUAUCGGCGAAAUAUCGCCGAUAUUAUCGAUAUUUUCUUCACUGAUAAAUACAUGUUAUGGAUAACUCGGCCCCCAAAGAGUUCCUGCAAAAUAGAUUUAAAAGCAUUACAAUAAAGUAUUAUUGAUCGUAUAGCAAUGAGUAGAGAUCAAACUCUCAUUAAGAACCGUAAAAUUAUACAGAUCUAUAAAACCGUUAGAUUUCGUGUCAAAGAUCAUGACAUGCAUUAAAACUCAAGGAUUGUCAACGUAAUCGUUUACCUACAUUUGAUUUAUUUUAAUCUGAUAAUUUUUUAUUUUAAGAUUGGUGAUUUAUCUACCUUGUGAGAUGUAAUGUUAGUUAGAAGCUAUUUUUCUUAAAAUAAUUAAUAAGUCAGAAGGCAGUUGGAUAUACUAUAUGUUCUGUAUUAAAUUUUCAACUCAGUUAGAAUUUUAACAAAUCUUAAUAAACUGACUAGUGCUGUCAGAUUCCUUAUGGAACUUCAUUCACAUACAAAUGAUUUUCAUGGAAAAAAGAUUUGGCUUUUUAAGAUUGAAGAGGAAAUUUUCCUUAAGAUACUUUGUAAUUGAUUAAGGGAACUUCGUUCUUAUAGUCAGAACCAUUCAUAUUGUAAAUCAUUCUAUAAAGAUCACCUUUGUAAAAAAUCAAUUAAAGCUAAGGUUGUUAGUCAAUCAAUUUUGACAAAUAAAUAGACGGUUCUUAAUGUUUUUACCUCAUCCAUCUAUUUAUUUUUAUAUAGUUUGAUGACUAACUAUCUCAUAUUUUAUUUAUUUUUUACAG
rnacentral:lncRNA from 1 species